UACGUAGGGGGCAAGCGUUGUCCGGAAUUAUUGGGCGUAAAGGGCGUGUAGGCGGUAUAAUAAGUCAGAUGUGAAAGUUCGGGGCUUAACCCCGGAAUUGCAUUUGAAACUGUAAUACUUGAGUACUGGAGAGGUAAGUGGAAUUCCUAGUGUAGCGGUGAAAUGCGUAGAUAUUAGGAGGAACACCAGUGGCGAAGGCGGUUCUCUGGGCAUUACCUGACGCUGAGGAGCGAAAGUGGGGGGAGCGAACAGG
rnacentral:rRNA from 1 species